rnacentral:tRNA from 1 species
GAACAAUAAUGCGGAUCUGGUCGAAUGGGAAAAUUUCUCUUUGCCAAGGAGAAGGCGCGGGUUCGAUUCCCGCUAUCCGCC